GGAAUAUAAGAAUCCGUCUCUUAACUUUUAACUAAAAAAGCUAAGAACCGGUUCUUAAAUACUCUUAAAUAAUAUCUAAGAACCGGUUCUUACCUUUUUUUUAGUUAAAAGUUAAGAGACGGAUUCUUAUAUUCC
rfam:Brassica napus, WGS project CCCW01000000 data, contig: 23196